rnacentral:tRNA from 1 species
AAUGAAUUGCCUGAUUAAAGGGCUACCUUGAUAGGGUAAAUAAAAUAGAUAUUCUAUAUUCAUUA